AGUGAACGCUGGCGGCAGGCCUAACACAUGCAAGUCGAGCGGCAGCGCGGGGGCAACCCUGGCGGCGAGCGGCGGACGGGUGAGGAAUUCGUCGGAAUCUGCCUUUUUGUGGGGGAUAACGUAGGGAAACUUACGCUAAUACCGCAUACGUCCUACGGGAGAAAGUGGGGGACCGCAAGGCCUCACGCAGAAAGAUGAGCCGACGACCGAUUAGCUAGUUGGUGGGGUAAAGGCCCACCAAGGCGACGAUCGGUAGCUGGUCUGAGAGGAUGAUCAGCCACACUGGGACUGAGACACGGCCCAGACUCCUACGGGAGGCAGCAGUGGGGAAUAUUGGACAAUGGGCGCAAGCCUGAUCCAGCCAUGCCGCGUGUGUGAAGAAGGCCUUCGGGUUGUAAAGCACUUUUGUCCGGAAAGAAAUCCCUGGAGCUAAUACCUUCGGGGGAUGACGGUAUCGGAAGAAUAAGCACCGGCUAACUUCGU
rnacentral:rRNA from 1 species